GGCCGAAUAAGGCGUUUACGCCGCAUCCGGCUAUCGGUGCACAGUGCCUGAUGCAACGCUGACGCGUCUUAUCAGCA
rnacentral:ncRNA from 1 species